rnacentral:rRNA from 1 species
GGCGGCGCGCCUCAUACAUGCAAGUCGAACGAGAAGCCCGGAGCUUGCUCUGGGUGGAAAGUGGCGAACGGGUGAGGAACACGUGAGGAACCUGCCCUGGAGACCGGGAUAACACCGGGAAACCGGUGCUAAUACCGGAUGCCCUCAUCGGACCGCAUGGUCUGAUGAGGAAAUGGAUUCCGCUCCAGGAUGGUCUCGCGGCCUAUCAGCUUGUUGGCGGGGUAAUGGCCCACCAAGGCAUCGACGGGUAGCUGGUCUGAGAGGAUGUCCAGCCACACUGGGACUGAGACACGGCCCAGACUCCUACGGGAGGCAGCAGUAGGGAAUCUUGCACAAUGGGCGAAAGCCUGAUGCAGCGACGCCGCGUGCGGGAUGACGGCCCUCGGGUUGUAAACCGCUUUCAGCAGGGACGAAAUUGACGGUACCUGCAGAAGAAGCCCCGGCCAACUACGUGCCAGCAGCCGCGGUAAUACGUA